rnacentral:rRNA from 2 species
UUAAUUGAAGAGUUUGAUCAUGGCUCAGAUUGAACGCUGGCGGCAGGCCUAACACAUGCAAGUCGAGCGGAAACGACAACAUUGACCCUUCGGGUGAUUUGUUGGGCGUCGAGCGGCGGACGGGUGAGUAAUGCCUGGGAAAUUGCCCUGAUGUGGGGGAUAACUAUUGGAAACGAUAGCUAAUACCGCAUAACGUCUACGGACCAAAGAGGGGGACCUUCGGGCCUCUCGCUUCAGGAUAUGCCCAGGUGGGAUUAGCUAGUUGGUGAGGUAAUGGCUCACCAAGGCGA